GCUUUCAACAUCCCCGUUCCAGAUCGAGCGGAGUGCGCUGAGCGCUGCCUCGUAUUUGGAGCUGAAGGC
rnacentral:sRNA from 12 species